GACGAACGCUGGCGGCGUGCUUAACACAUGCAAGUCGAACGGGCCCGCCCCUGUUUUUGGGGGUGGGUUGAGUGGCGAACGGGUGAGUAUCACGUGAGUAACCUGCCCCCUGCUCCUGGAUAACUGCUUGAAAGGGCGGCUAAUACGGGGUGUGCCGGCUGGUCCGCAUGGGCCUGGUCGGGAUAGUUUCAUCUUCGGGUGUUUCGGUGGGGGAUGGGCUCGCGGCCUAUCAGCUUGUUGGUGGGGUGAUGGCCCACCAAGGCGGUGACGGGUAGCCGGCCUGAGGGGGUGGGCGGCCACACUGGGACUGAGACACGGCCCAGCCUCCUGCGGGAGGCAGCAGUGGGGGGUAUUGCACAAUGGGCGGAAGCCUGAUGCAGCGACGUCGCGUGAGGGAUGGAGGCCUUCGGGUUGUGAACCUCUUUCUCCGGUGGUGAAGGCCCUGUCCGUUGCGGCGGGGUUGACGGUAGCCGGGUAUGAAGCGCCGGCUAACUACGUG
rnacentral:rRNA from 1 species